GGCGGGGCCUGCGUGUGCCACGCCCCCCGUUCCCCGCGGGCCGGCCGCGACCUGAGAGGCUGACGGUUGCCGAGGGCUAGGUGAGCGGUGCGUGCGUCUCCACAGCCGGCUUGCCGCCGUCAGAGUUAUUGAGAGAAUUAAAAGAAACUGUAAAGUGCUUAGCAUGGUGGCACAAAGAACUCAAUAAAGGCUCCUGAAUGCAUGAUGAUACCUCACAGCUUCUAGAGACAUUGUUCUCACCACCUGGAAUACCCCUUCCUCACCUUUUCAUUUGUUUAUGCUCCCAAGCAUUGGUUAAGAUUAGGGUCAAGUAUCUUCUAGAAGCCCUCCCCUUUAACUCAGACUAGCCUUGUAAUCUUGCUCUGAACAACAGAAUGCAGCAGAACACAGUGAAAGUGAUGUACUUGGGCUUCGAAGCCCAAGCCUUAGGAGCUUCCUUAUCCUCCCUCUUGAAGGAAGUCCAAAUAUCUGAGACUGUCAUACAAUGAAGAAGCACAGGCUAGCCAUAUGGAAAGGCCUCAUGGAGAUGCAGUGUGGCACUAGACACGUGAGUGGUGGCCUUCUGCACCCUCUAGACAAGCCCAACUGACAGCUGAAUGCAAAUGAGUUAGUAAUCCCAAACAAAACCAUCUGAAGCAGAGCCACUUAACCAAGCUGCAUUAGCCCACUGAAUCAAGAGAAACGUUAUUGUUAUUUUAAGCUGUUAAGUUCUGAGUGGCUUGUUAUAUAGCAAGAGAUAACUGAAAUAUUCAUCUCCUGUUUAUCUUUCUGUGUAACUGGUAAGCUUCUCAAGAGCUAAAUCUUUGCAUCUCCUGUGCCUGGCAUAAUAUCUUAGAGGAGGGGUUUGAUAAAUAUCUGAUGAAUUGAAUUUUAAAAUAAGAGAGCCCCCCCAAAAUAAAUUUUUAAAUGAGCAUAUAAUAGAUUAAAGCAGAGAAAUACAGUGUCACUUCAAAGAAAGAGACUGUCAUCUAAGCCCAUUAUGACAAGAGCAUAAUCUGACUGAAGGAGUUAAUAUAUCUAAAGAGAAAAUAUGAAUAAAUGCCAAUGCUGAUUAGUCUGGGUGGGAAAAAAUACCACAGAGGAGGAGUCAACCAAUUGACAAAUUAGAGGACCCAAUUUGGCAAUGCAUGUCUAAGGAGUGACCACGGGAGAGCUGUUAGGCACACUGAAUGUUAAGGUUUCCUUUAAAAGCUCUCCUGGUAGGGAGGGGCAUUUCAAACUAUUUUGGUUGAGAAACAUACCUGAAGAAUUCUUUUUGUCUACUGAUUCCCUGUGCCCUCAGAUAUUUGGUCUCCUAUUUGAUGGUUAUUGACAAAAUAGAAGUAAGAGUGUUGGACUAGUCAGGCCGACAAGAGCCUCUAGUCCAGUGAACAGAUGAAUUCUCAGUCCAAAUUAAUAGACUGACAUCCUCAUUAUAAUUUAGUCUCUCUGUAGCAUAUAAGAUGAGAAAGAAUGCUUUUAUCUGCUAGGGCUAGUAUCUCCUUCUCAUAGCCAGUUUUAUUUCUUCUUAAAUACCAAUAAACCAGUUUUUCUUUAUUGUAAAA